CCUACGGGUGGCUGCAAUUAGGAAUCUUGCGCAAUGGGCGAAAGCCUGACGCAGCGACGCCGCGUGACCGAUGAAGUCCCUCGGGAUGUAAAGGUCUUUUAGCAGGGAAGAAGAUCUGACGGUACCUGCUGAAUAAGCCCCGGCUAACUACGUGCCAGCAGCCGCGGUAAUACGUAGGGGGCGAGCGUUGUCCGAAGUUACUGGGCGUAAAGCGCGCGUAGGCGGUUGCUUAAGUUAGAUGUGAAAUCCUGUGGAUCAACCACAGAACUGCAUCUAAAACUGGGCAGCUUGAGGACGGAAGAGGGCAGUGGAAUUCCUGGUGUAGCGGUGAAAUGCGUAGAUAUCAGGAGGAACACCCGUGGCGAAGGCGGCUGCCUGGUCCGUAUCUGACGCUGAGGUGCGAAAGCUAGGGGAGCGAACGGGAUUAGAUACCCCAGUAGUC
rnacentral:rRNA from 1 species